rnacentral:rRNA from 1 species
CGGGACACGUGGUAUCCUGUCUGAAUAUGGGGGGACCAUCCUCCAAGGCUAAAUACUCCUGACUGACCGAUAGUGAACCAGUACCGUGAGGGAAAGGCGAAAAGAACCCCGGCGAGGGGAGUGAAAAAGAACCUGAAACCGUGUACGUACAAGCAGUGGGAGCACGCUUAGGCGUGUGACUGCGUACCUUUUGUAUAAUGGGUCAGCGACUUAUAUUCUGUAGCAAGGUUAACCGAAUAGGGGAGCCGAAGGGAAACCGAGUCUUAACUGGGCGUUAAGUUGCAGGGUAUAGACCCGAAACCCGGUGAUCUAGCCAUGGGCAGGUUGAAGGUUGGGUAACACUAACUGGAGGACCGAACCGACUAAUGUUGAAAAAUUAGCGGAUGACUUGUGGCUGGGGGUGAAAGGCCAAUCAAACCGGGAGAUAGCUGGUUCUCCCCGAAAGCUAUUUAGGUAGCGCCUCGUGAAUUCAUCUCCGGGGGUAGAGCACUGUUUCGGCAAGGGGGUCAUCCCGACUUACCAACCCGAUGCAAACUGCGAAUACCGGAGAAUGUUAUCACGGGAGACACACGGCGGGUGCUAACGUCCGUCGUGAAGAGGGAAACAACCCAGACCGCCAGCUAAGGUCCCAAAGUCAUGGUUAAGUGGGAAACGAUGUGGGAAGGCCCAGACAGCCAGGAUGUUGGCUUAGAAGCAGCCAUCAUUUAAAGAAAGCGUAAUAGCUCACUGGUCGAGUCGGCCUGCGCGGAAGAUGUAACGGGGCUAAACCAUGCACCGAAGCUGCGGCAGCGACGCUGAUGCGUUGUUGGGUAGGGGAGCGUUCUGUAAGCCUGUGAAGGUGUGCUGUGAGGCAUGCUGGAGGUAUCAGAAGUGCGAAUGCUGACAUAAGUAACGAUAAAGCGGGUGAAAAGCCCGCUCGCCGGAAGACCAAGGGUUCCUGUCCAACGUUAAUCGGGGCAGGGUGAGUCGACCCCUAAGGCGAGGCCGAAAGGCGUAGUCGAUGGGAAACAGGUUAAUAUUCCUGUACUUGGUGUUACUGCGAAGGGGGGACGGAGAAGGCUAUGUUGGCCGGGCGACGGUUGUCCCGGUUUAAGCGUGUAGGCUGGUUUUCCAGGCAAAUCCGGAAAAUCAAGGCUGAGGCGUGAUGACGAGGCACUACGGUGCUGAAGCAACAAAUGCCCUGCUUCCAGGAAAAGCCUCUAAGCAUCAGGUAACAUCAAAUCGUACCCCAAACCGACACAGGUGGUCAGGUAGAGAAUACCAAGGCGCUUGAGAGAACUCGGGUGAAGGAACUAGGCAAAAUGGUGCCGUAACUUCGGGAGAAGGCACGCUGAUAUGUAGGUGAAGCGACUUGCUCGUGGAGCUGAAAUCAGUCGAAGAUACCAGCUGGCUGCAACUGUUUAUUAAAAACACAGCACUGUGCAAACACGAAAGUGGACGUAUACGGUGUGACGCCUGCCCGGUGCCGGAAGGUUAAUUGAUGGGGUCAGCGCAAGCGAAGCUCUUGAUCGAAGCCCCGGUAAACGGCGGCCGUAACUAUAACGGUCCUAAGGUAGCGAAAUUCCUUGUCGGGUAAGUUCCGACCUGCACGAAUGGCGUAAUGAUGGCCAGGCUGUCUCCACCCGAGACUCAGUGAAAUUGAACUCGCUGUGAAGAUGCAGUGUACCCGCGGCAAGACGGAAAGACCCCGUGAACCUUUACUAUAGCUUGACACUGAACAUUGAGCCUUGAUGUGUAGGAUAGGUGGGAGGCUUUGAAGUGUGGACGCCAGUCUGCAUGGAGCCGGCCUUGAAAUACCACCCUUUAAUGUUUGAUGUUCUAACGUUGACCCGUGAUCCGGGUUGCGGACAGUGUCUGGUGGGUAGUUUGACUGGGGCGGUCUCCUCCUAAAGAGUAACGGAGGAGCACGAAGGUUGGCUAAUCCUGGUCGGACAUCAGGAGGUUAGUGCAAUGGCAUAAGCCAGCUUGACUGCGAGCGUGACGGCGCGAGCAGGUGCGAAAGCAGGUCAUAGUGAUCCGGUGGUUCUGAAUGGAAGGGCCAUCGCUCAACGGAUAAAAGGUACUCCGGGGAUAACAGGCUGAUACCGCCCAAGAGUUCAUAUCGACGGCGGUGUUUGGCACCUCGAUGUCGGCUCAUCACAUCCUGGGGCUGAAGUAGGUCCCAAGGGUAUGGCUGUUCGCCAUUUAAAGUGGUACGCGAGCUGGGUUUAGAACGUCGUGAGACAGUUCGGUCCCUAUCUGCCGUGGGCGCUGGAGAACUGAGGGGGGCUGCUCCUAGUACGAGAGGACCGGAGUGGACGCAUCACUGGUG